UUUCUUCAGUAUUCAACAGUUUGGCUCUUCUGCUGUAUCAACUGAUCAACAUACCAGUUCAACUCUAGCAGAUUAUCGGUAGCAUACUAGCAGAUUAGUAAAUUUUUGUUUACCAGAGAUGCCAUUACUGCUAGAUGCAAGUUUCAAAUCAAUAAAUUUCAUGAACUUUUUCCUUGUUUUCUUGUAAUGUAGAUAAAAAGGAAGAGUGCUGCAUUUGCAUUGUUACCGCUAGAUGCAAAUUUAUUAUUGUAGUAUAGAUAAUUAUUAUAAAAUCAUGGUAUUAUCUCUCAUGCACAGUAGCACAUUUUUACAUUAUUAUUUCAAUCUUGCUACAAUUAACUAGAAGAAAAGCGGAAGAGAUUGCACGAGAAAACCUCUUAAGUGUACCCAUCUGCUCAUAUUCUUCCAUCAGUACCUCACUAGGGAGGUCAAAAUUAAUGGACAUCAUUACUUGCACCAUGAAGAUGAAGACCUGAUUAGUUUACUGGGAAAUUUAUAUAUCUGAUUUUAAUAUAUAACGUCAACGCUCUAUUUUUUUUCUUUUCUCAUCAUAAGUAACAAGAACAAGAUGUUAUAUCAAGACAUUUUGUAACUUUCGUCUUCACUGCCGGUUCAAGUUCGACGUAUUAGUCAGAACAUACUUACACAAAAUACCAAUUUUCAGGUUUGCAGUACAUGUGACCUGAAUUUUUUACGCAGAAUACAAUUAGAGGGAUUCAUACAUAGAUUUGCAGAUUAUUGCUUUGCCAUUGUGUUCCCUUGAUGUAUUUAUCACUGAUUUUUUUUUUAUUCUCCCUUGAUACACAGGUUACAAAGUUAUUUACAUGUGUUUUCUAGACAGCAUGUUCUGCAAUAGUACAUAUGUAUGGCAUCUUCUCUUGUGUUGGGAAAACAUUCAAGCAGAUUCUCACUCACUGGUUCAUGAAAGUAGAAACAGAAUGUAAACCGUAUCCACUUUUUCUUGGAUCAUUGGGGAUUGCUGAAUGGAAAACACAUUCAAGGCACAUAAUCUAUGAGAAUCACGACAAGUAAUCGUACCAAAAAGGAUUACUCGGCAAGUCUUAUCUGGUGAUCUCUAUUGAGUUGAUUUAAACUACAACUGAGAAAGAAGUUAUCUUUGAAAAAACAAAAUGGUUAUUUCUUGCUCAAGGUUACCUAAAUAGUUGACCAGAUAUGAGUUCAUUGCAGUAAAUUGUUUUAAAAACCUACCAUUGAUGAUGCAAGUUUAAACUGGACCAUAUCAUCUCAUUAUAGACAUGCUUGCACUUCGAAUGCAGGUUGGAACUAAUUAUUAUCUGAAGGACAACUGCAGUUACUCAAUGAAAUGCUGACUGGAAUCUCCAAGCAACAUAUUUCUUUUCAGUUGUUGUUCUCCUAGCUGGAAUCUCUAGAGAUUGUGACUGGAAUCUAAAAUUUCUGUCCUAUUUUGUAAAAGCCAGAUUGGACGGCCCAGUUUAUCCACACAAAUAAGUACUGGUGUCUCUGAAGUUCUUUCUGGUAGCAACGCUAUGACUGUAGGCUGAUCAGUCCUUCAUCUUUAUAGCUAGCUCUGAAAUGCAGAUAAGGGUCUAUCCUGUGCAGUCGGUAUCGGAUGAACCAGUUCAUCCUUACACUGUGCGUACCAGUAUCUUGUACUGAAGUUUUUUUUGUGAUAACAAGGCUAUGGCUAUAGCCGACCUGUCAUUCAUCUUGACGCCGCAUCUCCAAAGAGCCUUCCAGCUGCCGACUUGGUGGUCAGCUUGACGAGAAAACUGUCCAACCACUUCCUGAUAUUGAUUACUUCAGCAUUGAGGUGCUCAGGGCCAGUCGAGAUUUCUUCUGGAGCUUACUUCUUUGUUCUCCAGAGUAUGGGCGAAAUUAUCCAAGAUGCAUCAGAAAAAACUAUUUCUUUGUUCUUGGACAGUCAUGUAUAAAGGUUGCACCCAAUUUUGUUUCUCCAGAAAAUUUACAAGAAUGCAGGCUAACGGAAGAAUUUCUUCCCCUUCCAAAAUGUCAUCGGGUGAAUAAAAAUAAGCUAGAGCUUGGUGUCGGUCGUGAUGCUUCUGGUUUUGAAGUGUAGGUGCAACAAAGAUGAUCUUACCAUCUUUCAUAUCAGUAAUGGUUUUGUUGCUUUAGUAUCAUAUAUAGAACUGCAGUUGCUAAACUUUCACGUCGUUUUUUUUAUAAGAGCUACUAAACUUGCCUCUUAUUUUUUAUGAGGUGCUGAAUUCUUUCUUGGUUGGGAUUGACACCCAGCACUAGCCAGAAAGUUUCGGUGGGAUCAUAUUCUCAAUAAGGGCGGCUUCGGAUUAUCUGAACACGAAACGGCGUCGACAGAAGACUUACACUACCUUCCCGAUGCUGGAAAUGUAGCUUUGUUUCAAUUGCUUUGGGUAGAGCUUGCUACAGUUCUAGCCCUCCCUGUGCCAAGCAAAGAACUCAUCAUCAUCAUCAUUUCGUCUGCUGAUGAAUAUAAUAAUGCCAACCACUGACAGUUUGAAGACUGGGGAACACCGAGACCACCUGGCUUAGCAUGCUAAAAAUUUAUAUUCGUGCUAAUUACUUCAAGUAUAUAGUUCCGGUGGCACUGCUUAGGCAAGUCAAUCCUAUCAGGUAUGUAAUGAGAAAGAAUGUAUGUAUGAUAUAGUUCAGAUGGUUCUGUUUACUCAAGUCAAUCCUAUCACCCACCUAGGUUACGAGAAAGAAUGUAUGUAUGUUAGUGUCUCUAGCCUAUACUCCCUACGGUGGAUCUAUCUUGCCAACCAUGCACUCAACUAGGAAUAUAUAUUAGUAACACGUUUAGUAUAUCUGAGAUAAGGAUAUCACAUCGAUAAAGCUUCAUGUUACAGCAUAGGCGCGGCGUGAACAUUUGAAAAGUUGCUAUUUUCAGAUCUACAAUUCUGUUAAUUUUGCACAGUCCAGAAUAUAGAUUAUCUCACACUGAU